GGCUCAGGACGAACGCUGGCGGCGUGCUUAACACAUGCAAGUCGAACGGUGAAGCCCUUCGGGGUGGAUCAGUGGCGAACGGGUGAGUAACACGUGAGCAACCUGCCCCUGACUCUGGGAUAACUACCGGAAACGGUGGCUAAUACCGGAUAUGACCUGCUCGGGCAUCUGAGUGGGUGGAAAGUUUUUCGGUUGGGGAUGGGCUCGCGGCCUAUCAGCUUGUUGGUGGGGUGAUGGCCUACCAAGGCGACGACGGGUAGCCGGCCUGAGAGGGCGACCGGCCACACUGGGACUGAGACACGGCCCAGACUCCUACGGGAGGCAGCAGUGGGGAAUAUUGCGCAAUGGGCGAAAGCCUGACGCAGCGACGCCGCGUGGGGGAUGAAGGCCUUCGGGUUGUAAACCUCUUUCAGCGCCGAAGAAGCGAAAGUGACGGUAGGCGCAGAAGAAGCACCGGCUAACUACGUGCCAGCAGCCGCGGUAAUACGUAGGGUGCAAGCGUUGUCCGGAAUUAUUGGGCGUAAAGAGCUCGUAGGCGGUCUGUCGCGUCUGCUGUGAAAACUCGGGGCUUAACUCCGGGCUUGCAGUGGGUACGGGCAGACUAGAGUGCGGUAGGGGAGACUGGAAUUCCUGGUGUAGCGGUGAAAUGCGCAGAUAUCAGGAGGAACACCGGUGGCGAAGGCGGGUCUCUGGGCCGUAACUGACGCUGAGGAGCGAAAGCGUGGGGAGCGAACAGGAUUAGAUACCCUGGUAGUCCACGCCGUAAACGUUGGGCGCUAGGUGUGGGGUCCGUUCCACGGGUUCCGUGCCGCAGCUAACGCAUUAAGCGCCCCGCCUGGGGAGUACGGCCGCAAG
rnacentral:rRNA from 1 species